rnacentral:rRNA from 1 species
UACGUAGGGGGCGAGCGUUGUCCGAAGUUAUUGGGCGUAAAGAGCGUGUAGGCGGCCAGGUAGGUCUGCUGUGAAAACUCGAGGCUCAACCUCGAGACGUCGGCGGAAACCAUCUGGCUAGAGUCCGGAAGAGGAGAGUGGAAUUCCUGGUGUAGCGGUGAAAUGCGCAGAUAUCAGGAAGAACACCCGUGGCGAAGGCGGCUCUCUGGGACGGUACUGACGCUGAGACGCGAAAGCGUGGGGAGCGAACAGG